rnacentral:rRNA from 1 species
CAGUCGCCGCGGUAAUACGAAGGGGGCUAGCGUUGCUCGGAAUGACUGGGCGUAAAGGGCGCGUAGGCGGAUGGCACAGUCAGAUGUGAAAUUCCCGGGCUUAACCUGGGGGCUGCAUUUGAUACGUGUUGUCUAGAGUGAGGAAGAGGGUCGUGGAAUUCCCAGUGUAGAGGUGAAAUUCGUAGAUAUUGGGAAGAACACCGGUGGCGAAGGCGGCGACCUGGUCCUUUACUGACGCUGAGGCGCGAAAGCGUGAGGAGCAAACAGGAUUAGAUACCCGAGUAGUCCCUGUCUCUUAUAC